rnacentral:sRNA from 1 species
GCAGGGCUGCCUGGCCAGUGUGGGAGUCCUGACUCAGUCCUGCACCACCCAGCACCUCCACUCCAUCCUGAAGGCUACCAACUACAAUGGCCACACGUGUCUACACUUAGCCUCUAUCCAUGGCUACCUGGGCAUCGUGGAGCUUUUGGUGUCCUUGGGUGCGGAUGUCAAUGCUCAGGUUGGUGCUUCCUGCCUCUGACGCACUGAGUCAGGUUCCUCGUGCUCAUGUUGUGAGCAGAAAUUCCAAACGCAACCAUAAGCAUCUCAAAUUCCUUUUGGUUUCAGGAGCCCUGUAAUGGCCGGACUGCCCUUCACCUCGCAGUGGACCUGCAGAAUCCUGACCUGGUGUCGCUCCUGUUGAAGUGUGGGGCUGAUGUCAACAGAGUUACCUACCAGGGCUAUUCUCCCUACCAGCUCACCUGGGGCCGCCCAAGCACCCGGAUACAGCAGCAGCUGGGCCAGCUGACACUAGAAAACCUUCAGAUGCUGCCAGAGAGUGAGGAUGAGGAGAGCUAUGACACAGAGUCAGAGUUCACGGAGUUCACGGAGGACGAGCUGCCCUAUGAUGACUGUGUGUUUGGAGGCCAGCGUCUGACGUUAUGAGCGCAAAGGGGCUGAAAGAACAUGGACUUGUAUAUUUGUACAAAAAAAAGUUUUAUUUUUCUAAAAAAAGAAAAAAGAAGAAAAAA